rnacentral:rRNA from 1 species
GUACACUCCUACGGGAGGCAGCAGUGAGGAAUAUUGGACAAUGGGUGGAAGCCUGAUCCAGCCAUCCCGCGUGCAGGAAGACGGCCCUAUGGGUUGUAAACUGCUUUUAUCUGGGGAUAAACCUACUUACGUGUAAGUAGCUGAAGGUACCAGAAGAAUAAGCACCGGCUAACUCCGUGCCAGCAGCCGCGGUAAUACGGAGGGUGCAAGCGUUAUCCGGAUUUAUUGGGUUUAAAGGGUCCGUAGGCGGACUGAUAAGUCAGUGGUGAAAUCCGACAGCUUAACUGUCGAACUGCCAUUGAUACUGUUAGUCUUGAGUAAGGUUGAAGUGGCUGGAAUAAGUAGUGUAGCGGUGAAAUGCAUAGAUAUUACUUAGAACACCAAUUGCGAAGGCAGGUCACUAAGUCUUAACUGACGCUGAUGGACGAAAGCGUGGGGAGCGAACAGGAUUAGAAACCCCGGUAGUCCC